AAAGGCGCUGUUUUUCACUCAGUGAGCUACGGAACCUGCAACGUUGACGGUGCUAGGAAAACGUGCACAUAUUUUCGAUUUGAAUCACGCGUUUCUAUUUCUAACCGAUCCAUUUCCAAUCUUAUGGAAGAUUUACGGUGUGUUGUUCUGGUGAAAUUUCGAUCGUGAUCAAACUUCUUUAACCGUGAUCACAUCCGUUUUCACGUGUUAUACAGCCACAGUUUGUUAUUCCAAUUAGAGUUUUAUCUUGUACCAGUUUUUCUUUUAAGUUGAUUUAUUAGGAGGAGAAUCCUCUAGUGAUGAAAGUUAUUCUUAAUUUUAGAUUUCUGAUUGUAAAGUAACAGAAAAUUGAAAAUUUGUCUCGAGUAACGUGAUUCUCGAUUAUUUAUAUUUGCUGUCUGGCUUAUUUUAUGGAAUGUUCCUCUAUUUCCGGUUGACAGAAAGCAUUACUAGUACAAUUUUAUUAUAAACAAUACCGUUCAGGAGACCUGUUAUUGUUCACCGUUGAAUUAUCAAUUCAUCGAAAUUGAUAGUUGGAUAUCAGUAUCCUCUACAUCCUUUUUGUGUUUUUUGGUUUGAAAUAAUAAUUUUAAUUGAGAAAUUAAUUGACAAAAUUAAUCUAUCCGAUUUCUUUUACAUCUAUAAGAAUACAGU
rnacentral:lncRNA from 1 species